AGCAAAGAAAAUUUGAGACAAUUUUAUUCAAAGAAGUUUAUGAUGAAGUAGUUGAAAUCAAGGAAUUGACAGGCUGUCUUAAUGCUCCCGUGGUUUUUUCUCACAAUGACUUGCUUUCAGGGAAUCUGAUGCUUAAUGAAGAUGAAGAUAAACUCUACUUCAUUGAUUUUGAGUACGGAUCAUACAGUUACAGAGGUUUUGACAUUGGAAAUCACUUCAAUGAAUAUGCGGGUUAUGAUUGUGACUACAGCUUAUACCCAAGUAAAGAAGAACAAUAUCAUUUCUUCAGGCAUUAUUUACAACCUGAAAAACCGCAUGAGGUUUCUGACAAGGACCUUGAAGCUCUAUAUAUAGAGACGAAUACUUUCGCAUUAGCUUCACACUUAUUCUGGGCUUUAUGGGCACUAAUCCAGGCAAAGAUGUCCCCAAUUGAUUUUGAUUAUCUUGACUAUUUCUUCCUGCGAUACAAUGAAUACAAAAGGCAGAAGGAAAAUAGUUGUUCACUGGCACGUUCUUACCUCUCAAGAUGUGGGAGUGGAUAGUUUUCUGGUCAUUUUCAGUUUUUUCA
rnacentral:misc_RNA from 1 species